UAGCGGGGGGGUGCGAGCGUUUGUUCCGGAAAUCACUGGGCGUAAAGGGCGCGUAGGUGGCCUGAUAAGGGUGUGGUGAAAGUCCGGGGCUCAACCCCCGGAUCUGCCGUGCCGACUGUUGGGCUGGAGUACUGUAGGGGCAGGCGGAAUUCGGGUGUAGCGGUGGAAUGACGUAGAGAGUCCGGAGGAAGACCGGUGGCGAAGGCGGCCUGACUGGGCAGUUACUGACGCU
rnacentral:rRNA from 1 species